rnacentral:pre_miRNA from 2 species
ACAAAGGAAAAAGUGAAGCUGCCAGCAUGAUCUAAACUUUGGUUAGAGAGCUUUCUUUUGAAUGGAAAGAAGAGAGAGUAAGUAACCCUAACCUUGACUAGGUCAUGCUGUGACAGCCUCACUCUUUCCUAUU